rnacentral:tmRNA from 1 species
GGGGGCGUACUGGUUUCGACGGGGGUAAGGAUGUCUGAGGAAGCGAGUGGAGGGAACUCUGGGCCCGCCUUAAAAAACUAGGGACUUAAAGAUAAACGCAGAAGACAAUUUUGCAUUAGCAGCUUAAUAUAGCUGUUCGUUCUACCCGGGAGGCCUACGGCCUGGGAUAGGGCGUCGAUUAGUAGGGAACCGCACUUUGGAAAGCUUUGACCAAAGGACGGAAUAAAUGAAGCUACUGAAGCAGGAAGCCUGUCCAUGGGCGUCCUGCUGAGGGAAUGUUAAAACAUGGUCUGCACUCGGAGAUGCCUCAUGCAUGUUACCUUCGGACACGGGUUCAAUUCCCGUCGCCUCCACCA